GGUAAAAUGGCUGAUAAGAGCAUUAGACUGUAAAUCUAACUAUGGGAGUUUGAGUCUCCCUUUUAUCA
rnacentral:tRNA from 1 species